rnacentral:rRNA from 1 species
UACGAAGGGGGCUAGCGUUGCUCGGAAUCACUGGGCGUAAAGGGUGCGUAGGCGGUCGGGUAAGUCUGAUGUGAAAUCUCCAAGCCUAACUUGGAAACUGCAUUGGAUACUAUCCGGCUAGAGGAAUGGAGGGGAGACUGGAAUACUUGGUGUAGCAGUGAAAUGCGUAGAUAUCAAGUGGAACACCAGUGGCGAAGGCGAGUCUCUGGACAUUUCCUGACGCUGAGGCACGAAAGCCAGGGGAGCAAACGGG